rnacentral:rRNA from 1 species
AACGAACGCUGGCGGCAUGCCUAAUACAUGCAAGUCGAACGGGAUCUUCGGAUCUAGUGGCGCACGGGUGCGUAACGCGUGGGAAUCUGCCCUUGGGUUCGGAAUAACUUCUGGAAACGGAAGCUAAUACCGGAUGAUGACGUAAGUCCAAAGAUUUAUCGCCCAAGGAUGAGCCCGCGUAGGAUUAGCUAGUUGGUGGGGUAAAGGCCCACCAAGGCGACGAUCCUUAGCUGGUCUGAGAGGAUGAUCAGCCACACUGGGACUGAGACACAGCCCAGACUCCUACGGGAGGCAGCAGUAGGGAAUAUUGGACAAUGGGGGAAACCCUGAUCCAGCAAUGCCGCGUGAGUGAUGAAGGCCUUAGGGUUGUAAAGCUCUUUUAACCGGGAUGAUAAUGACAGUACCGGGAGAAUAAGCUCCGGCUAACUCCGUG